UACGUAGGGAGCAAGCGUUGUCCGGAAUCAUUGGGCGUAAAGCGCGCGUAGGCGGCCCUGUAAGUCCGUUGUGAAAGUCAAAGGCUCAACCUUUGAAAGCCGAUGGAUACUGCAGGGCUAGAGUCCGGAAGAGGCGAGUGGAAUUCCUGGUGUAGCGGUGGAAAUGCGCAGAUAUCAGGAGGAACACCAAUAGCGAAGGCAGCUCGCUGGGACGGUACUGACGCUAAGGCGCGAAAGCGUGGGGAGCGAACAGG
rnacentral:rRNA from 1 species